rnacentral:rRNA from 1 species
GAUGAACGCUGCCAGAAUGCUUAACAUAUGCAAGUCUACUUGAACUUCGGUUUGGGUGGCGGACGGGUGAGUAACGCGUAAAGAACUUGCCUCACAGAUAGGGACAACAUUUGGAAACGAAUGCUAAUACCUGAUAUUAUGAUUUUAGGGCAUCCUAGAAUUAUGAAAGCUAUAUGCACUGUGAGAGAGCUUUGCGUCCCAUUAGCUAGUUGGAGAGGUAACGGCUCACCAAGGCGAUGAUGGGUAGCCGGCCUGAGAGGGUGAUCGGCCACAAGGGGACUGAGACACGGCCCUUACUCCUACGGGAGGCAGCAGUGGGGAAUAUUGGACAAUGGACCAAGAGUCUGAUCCAGCAAUUCUGUGUGCACGAUGAAGUUUUUCGGAAUGUAAAGUGCUUUCAGUUGGGAAGAAAAAAAUGACGGUACCAACAGAAGAAGUGACGGCUAAAUACGUG